rnacentral:rRNA from 1 species
CACACAGUAAACGAUGAAUACUCGCUGUUUGCGAUAUACAGUAAGCGGCCAAGCGAAAGCAUUAAGUAUUCCACCUGGGGAGUACGCCGGCAACGGUGAAACUCAAAGGAAUUGACGGGGACCCGCACAAGCAGCGGAGCAUGUGGUUUAAUUCGAAGCAACGCGAAGAACCUUACCAGGUCUUGACAUCCUCUGACGAGCCUAGAGAUAGGAAGUUUCCUUCGGGAACAGAGAGACAGGUGG